GUUUUAAUAGUUUAAAAAAAACGCCGGUCUUGUAAACCGGAAAUAAGUCCAAGCCCCACUUUUAAAACU
rnacentral:tRNA from 1 species